AGUAUGAAAAGGAAGUCUUGAAAAUCUUUCGAUCAACAGGCUCAUGAUCUCAACCUUUGUUUAACCGGAGAAAAGGAACCUGAACAACAUUUGGAAAGAUAAUAAUCAUGUUUAACUGAGUCCGUGUGAACUGAAAGGGCAUCUAUGCAAUAACUAGUGGAGUUUUAUUCAAGGGCACUAUUCUACGGACCCUACCCAGUGUGUGGACAAUGCAGUGGCCUAUUCAUAUGUAGUAGUUUAUGAAACUGACACCUACCAUUACUCACGAGAUGCACUGUGUAAGGAUGACCCAUUUGGUUUCAAUGGGGUGGUGGUGACAGAAGAGGUGUCUUUUCCAAUACGGAGAUGUACUCCAUUUCUAAGCCAUAACAGGCCAAACAACCCUGCAGAAGCAGACAGAGGUCUGUCUGGAAAUAAUGGAGAAAUGCUAGAUCUGGUGGCAGUAAAUGAACAAUCUUUUCCAAACUUCACUCCAAGACGAUCUGACCAUGUGCAUAUAACUCAUAUAUAUCCUAGUGUGAACAACUACCUCACUCAAGAAAUAGUGGAUCUGGUGGCCGUAGAAGAACAAUCCUUUCCAAACUUCACUCCAAGACCUUCUCAUCAUGUGCAUCUACCUCAUAUACAUCCUACUGUGAACAACCAUCUCACUCAACGUCAAGGGCAUGGCUCACUACAACAAGAUAUGGAGCCCUCAGGACUGAUCGAGCGUUGGUAUCAAGAAUCGAACACGGUGGACGAUGACAAACAGGAUUGGGAGGAAUACUGAGCUAAAGUGGCAUGAUGUUGUCUGAGCAUCAGCAUAACGUAACAUCACAGACAGCAAAAUCAGCAAAGGGGGUCAAUAAGUUAAACAUUUGACCUUAGCAAACACAUACUGUAACCUUCCUGUUUGCUUUGCUUCCAGCUCCUGUGUUGUAUUGUACAGUUUGUAACGUUCCUGUAAAUCAUUAUUAAUCAACUAUUGUAAGUUAAUAAAAAACAAAAAUGUGAA